CCUACGGGUGGCAGCAGUGAGGAAUAUUGGUCAAUGGACGAGAGUCUGAACCAGCCAAGUAGCGUGAAGGAUGACUGCCCUAUGGGUUGUAAACUUCUUUUAUAAAGGAAUAAAACGAGGCACGUGUGCCCUUUUGCACGUACUUUAUGAAUAAGGAUCGGCUAACUCCGUGCCAGCAGCCGCGGUAAUACGGAGGAUCCGAGCGUUAUCCGGAUUUAUUGGGUUUAAAGGGAGCGUAGAUGGGUUGUUAAGUCAGUUGUGAAAGUUUGCGGCUCAACCGUAAAAUUGCAAUUGAUACUGGCAGUCUUGAGUACAGUUGAGGUAGGCGGAAUUCGUGGUGUAGCGGUGAAAUGCUUAGAUAUCACGAAGAACCCCGAUUGCGAAGGCAGCUUACUAAACUGUGACUGACAUUGAUGCUCGAAAGUGUGGGUAUCAAACAGGAUUAGAUACCCCAGUAGUC
rnacentral:rRNA from 1 species